rnacentral:rRNA from 1 species
UACGUAGGUGGCAAGCGUUGUCCGGAUUUACUGGGCGUAAAGAGCGCGCAGGCGGUCGUUCAAGUCGCGUGUGAAAGCCCCGGCUCAACUGGGGAGGUCACGCGAUACUGAUCGACUCGAAGGCAGGAGAGGGAAGUGGAAUUCCCGGUGGUAGUGGUGAAAUGCGUAGAUAGUCGGAGGAACACCAGUGGCGAAGGCGACUUCCUGGCCUGUUCUGACGCUGAGGCGCGAAAGCUAGGGGAGCAAAGCGGGG